rnacentral:lncRNA from 1 species
CUCCCUUCCUUUACUACAAGGAUACUCUAUACAGAAGGUCGUUCGAGGGGGUACUCUUGCGAUGCCUAGGAGAAAAAGAAGCUCUCCAAGCUUUGCAAAAGGCACAUUCUGGGGUACGUGGGUCACACUAGUUUGAACCAAAGCUCUACUUCCAUAUAAAAAAGAUGGGAUAUUAUUGGCCAACGAUGGUAAAAGAUUACUUGGACUACGCCCGAAGAUGCAAA